rnacentral:rRNA from 1 species
GCGGACGGGUAAGUAACACGUGGAUAACCUACCUAUAAGACUGGGAUAACUUCGGGAAACCGGAGCUAAUACCGGAUAAUAUAUUGAACCGCAUGGUUCAAUAGUGAAAGACGGUUUUGCUGUCACUUAUAGAUGGAUCCGCGCCGCAUUAGCUAGUUGGUAAGGUAACGGCUUACCAAGGCAACGAUGCGUAGCCGACCUGAGAGGGUGAUCGGCCACACUGGAACUGAGACACGGUCCAG